rnacentral:misc_RNA from 1 species
GAAACGCGAAAGGUAAUGCGAAUUGCAGAAUCAGUGAGUCAUCGAAUCUUUGAACGCACAUUGCGCCUCUCGGUAUUCCGGGAGGCACGCCUGUUCGAGCGCCAUUACAAACUCCAAGCGUGGCUUGAUGUUGGGCGAUGUCUUUUUGCGAGAGCGGAGACACGCCUGGAACGCGUUGGCGCCGCCGCCGGACCACGAGCGUAGCAGACGAGAGUCAAUCGCAUCGAUUUGGUUUCCGACGGAGGUCCGCCUUUGGAUUGGAUCUUGGAUUCGAUCUACCCAUCCACGAGUUUGGCCUCGGAUCAGGCGGGGAUACCCGCUGAACUUAAGC